rnacentral:rRNA from 1 species
AUACGUAGGGUGCGAGCGUUAAUCGGAAUUACUGGGCGUAAAGCGUGCGCAGGCGGCGCGCCAAGUCAGAUGUGAAAGCCCCGGGCUUAACCUGGGAAUUGCGUUUGAAACUGGCGGGCUGGAGUGUGGCAGAGGGAGGUGGAAUUCCACGUGUAGCAGUGAAAUGCGUAGAGAUGUGGAGGAACACCGAUGGCGAAGGCAGCCUCCUGGGCCAACACUGACGCUCAUGCACGAAAGCGUGGGGAGC